rnacentral:pre_miRNA from 2 species
GUCGUUAAACUAUAUAUUUUUUUAUUAUUUAGUCGAAGUUGAACCGUAAGGCGCGUAGGUCUCUAACGAGCGUCGAAACUGAGAUCGUCGUUAAAAUAUAAAACUUCGAUCUUAGUUUCGACGCUCGUUAGGGACCUACGCGCCUUACGGUUCGACUUCGACUAAAUAAUAAAAAAAAGAUAUAUAUUUUAACGAC